AGGUUAUGGAUAGGGAAUGCUAGCCGCUUGUAAGGGACACGGAGCCAGCUUCGAGCUCUCACAGUACUGCUCACGCAUCUGCCGCCUCCCUUGCAAGCGGCUAGCAACCCCGAUCGAUUAACCU